rnacentral:ribozyme from 1 species
UUGAAGCCGAGUUCAACGCGAAGCUUCGUGCAGCUCAAGAAGGAACGGUUAUGGUAUCCAGAAACCCAGUCGCCCAGGCAAUAGUCCGGGGAUUCACAAUCAAUUUUAUGUCGAUGAAAGAUGC